UGGGGAAUAUUGCACAAUGGGCGAAAGCCUGAUGCAGCAACGCCGCGUGAGUGAUGAAGGCCUUCGGGUUGUAAAGCUCUGUCUUUUGGGACGAUAAUGACGGUACCAAAGGAGGAAGCCACGGCUAACUACGUGCCAGCAGCCGCGGUAAUACGUAGGUGGCAAGCGUUGUCCGGAUUUACUGGGCGUAAAGGAUGCGUAGGCGGAUUUUUAAGUGAGAUGUGAAAACCCUAAGCUUAACUUGGGGACUGCAUUUCAUACUGGAAAUCUAGAGCGCGGGAGAGGAGAAUGGAAUUCCUAGUGUAGCGGUGAAAUGCGUAGAGAUUAGGAAGAACACCAGUGGCGAAGGCGAUUCUCUGGACCGUAACUGACGCUGAGGCAUGAAAGCGUGGGUAGCAAACAGGAUUAGAUACCCUGGUAGUCCACGCCGUAAACGAUGAGUACUAGGUGUAGGAGGUAUCGACCCCUUCUGUGCCGCAGUUAACACAAUAAGUACUCCGCCUGGGAAGUACGAUCGCAAGAUUAAAACUCAAAUGAAUUGACGGGGUCAUAGCUG
rnacentral:rRNA from 1 species